UUGGUGGUGUCAGACUUCCUUGGCUG
rnacentral:piRNA from 1 species